UGCACCAGUCGCGAAAACCUUUCGCAAUGCGGGAAACCGCGACGAGGUCAGCCGGAGUGCCGGUGCUCGCAUCGGCUGUCGGGGAGUCUAAAAAGCUCCCCAUAGCAAGGGCCGGGCAAAGCCGGUGGCAGCCGCCGCGGUAAUACCGGCGGCCCGAGUGGCGGUCACUAUUAUUGGGCUUAAAGCGUCCGUAGCCGGGUUGGUAAGUCUCCCGGGAAAUCUGGCCGCUUAACGGUCAGAAUUCCGGGAGAUACUGCCAGCCUAGGGACCGGGAGAGGCCGAGGGUAUUCCCGGAGUAGGGGUGAAAUCCUAUAAUCCCGGGAGGACCACUUGUGGCGAAAGGCGCUCGGCUGGAACGGGUCCGACGGUGAGGGACGAAAGGCCAGGGGAGCAAACCGGAUUAGAUA
rnacentral:rRNA from 1 species